GCUUGGGAACUUGCCUUUGCGAGGGGGAUAACAGUUGGAAACGACUGCUAAUACCGCAUAAUGUCUUCGGACCAAACGGGGCUUCGGCUCCGGCGCAAAGAGAGGCCCAAGUGAGAUUAGCUAGUUGGUAAGGUAACGGCUUACCAAGGCGACGAUCUCUAGCUGUUCUGAGAGGAAGAUCAGCCACACUGGGACUGAGACACGGCCCAGACUCCUACGGGAGGCAGCAGUGGGGAAUAUUGCACAAUGGGGGAAACCCUGAUGCAGCCAUGCCGCGUGUGUGAAGAAGGCCUUCGGGUUGUAAAGCACUUUCAGUUGUGAGGAAAAGUUAGUAGUUAAUACCUGCUAGCCGUGACGUUAACAACAGAAGAAGCACCGGCUAACUCCGUGCCAGCAGCCGCGGUAAUACGGAGGGUGCGAGCGUUAAUCGGAAUUACUGGGCGUAAAGCGCACGCAGGCGGUUUGUUAAGCUAGAUGUGAAAGCCCCGGGCUCAACCUGGGAUGGUCAUUUAGAACUGGCAGACUAGAGUCUUGGAGAGGGGAGUGGAAUUUCAGGUGUAGCGGUGAAUGCGUAGAUAUCUGGAGGAACGUCAGUGGCGAAGGCGACUCCCUGGUUAAGACUGAUGCUCAUGUGCGAAAGUGUGGGUAGCGAACCAG
rnacentral:rRNA from 1 species